rnacentral:rRNA from 1 species
UUGGUGCUUGCAUCAUGAUUUACAUUUGAGUGAGUGGCGAACUGGUGAGUAACACGUGGGAAACCUGCCCAGAAGCGGGGGAUAACACCUGGAAACAGAUGCUAAUACCGCAUAACAACUUGGACCGCAUGGUCCGAGCUUGAAAGAUGGCUUCGGCUAUCACUUUUGGAUGGUCCCGCGGCGUAUUAGCUAGAUGGUGGGGUAACGGCUCACCAUGGCAAUGAUACGUAGCCGACCUGAGAGGGUAAUCGGCCACAUUGGGACUGAGACACGGCCCAAACUCCUACGGGAGGCAGCAGUAGGGAAUCUUCCACAAUGGACGAAAGCCUGAUGGAGCAACGCCGCGUGAGUGAAGAAGGGUUUCGGCUCGUAAAACUCUGUUGUUAAAGAAGAACAUAUCUGAGAGUAACUGUUCAGGUAUUGACGGUAUUUAACCAGAAAGCCACGGCUAACUACGUGCCAGCAGCCGCGGUAAUACGUAGGUGGCAAGCGUUGUCCGGAUUUAUUGGGCGUAAAGCGAGCGCAGGCGGUUUUUUAAGUCUGAUGUGAAAGCCUUCGGCUCAACCGAAGAAGUGCAUCGGAACUGGGAAACUUGAGUGCAGAAGAGGACAGUGGAACUCCAUGUGUAGCGGUGAAAUGCGUAGAUAUAUGGAAGAACACCAG